ACGCUGGCGGCGUGCUUAACACAUGCAAGUCGAACGGUAAGGCCCUUCGGGGUACACGAGUGGCGAACGGGUGAGUAACACGUGGGUGAUCUGCCCUGCACUUCGGGAUAAGCCUGGGAAACUGGGUCUAAUACCGGAUAGGACCAUGGACUUCACGGUUUGUGGUGGAAAGCUUUUGCGGUGUGGGAUGGGCCCGCGGCCUAUCAGCUUGUUGGUGGGGUAAUGGCCUACCAAGGCGACGACGGGUAGCCGGCCUGAGAGGGUGUCCGGCCACACUGGGACUGAGAUACGGCCCAGACUCCUACGGGAGGCAGCAGUAGGGAAUAUUGCACAAUGGGCGCAAGCCUGAUGCAGCGACGCCGCGUGAGGGAUGACGGCCUUCGGGUUGUAAACCUCUUUCAAUAGGGACGAAGCGCAAGUGACGGUACCUAUAGAAGAAGCACCGGCCAACUACGUG
rnacentral:rRNA from 1 species